UUCGAGUCGUUGAUUUCACACUGCCGAGAAAAGCCUCUAGAUAGAAAAUAGGUGCCCGUACCGCAAACCGACACAGGUAGUCAAGAUGAGAAUUCUAAGGUGAGCGAGCGAACUCUCGUUAAGGAACUCGGCAAAAUGACCCCGUAACUUCGGGAGAAGGGGUGCUCUUUAGGGUUAACGCCCAGAAGAGCCGCAGUGAAUAGGCCCAAGCGACUGUUUAUCAAAAACACAGGUCUCUGCUAAACCGUAAGGUGAUGUAUAGGGGCUGACGCCUGCCCGGUGCUGGAAGGUUAAGAGGAGUGGUUAGCUUCUGCGAAGCUACGAAUCGAAGCCCCAGUAAACGGCGGCCGUAACUAUAACGGUCCUAAGGUAGCGAAAUUCCUUGUCGGGUAAGUUCCGACCCGCACGAAAGGCGUAACGAUUUGGGCACUGUCUCAACGAGAGACUCGGUGAAAUCAUAGUACCUGUGAAGAUGCAGGUUACCCGCGACAGGACGGAAAGACCCCGUGGAGCUUUACUGUAGCCUGAUAUUGAAAUUCGGCACAGCUUGUACAGGAUAGGUAGGAGCCUUUGAAACGUGA
rnacentral:rRNA from 1 species